rnacentral:rRNA from 1 species
ACGCACGCUGGCGGCGUGCUUAACACCUGCAAGUCGAACGGAAAGGCCCUUCGGGGUACUCGAGUGGCGAACGGGUGAGUAACACGUGGGUGAUCUGCCCUGCACUUUGGGAUAAGCCUGGGAAACUGGGUCUAAUACCGAAUAGGACCACGCGCUUCAUGGUGUGUGGUGGAAAGCUUUUGCGGUGUGGGAUGGGCCCGCGGCCUAUCAGCUUGUUGGUGGGGUAAUGGCCUACCAAGGCGACGACGGGUAGCCGGCCUGAGAGGGUGACCGGCCACACUGGGACUGAGAUACGGCCCAGACUCCUACGGGAGGCAGCAGUGGGGAAUAUUGCACAAUGGGCGCAAGCCUGAUGCAGCGACGCCGCGUGAGGGAUGACGGCCUUCGGGUUGUAAACCUCUUUCACCAGGGACGAAGCGUAAGUGACGGUACCUGGAGAAGAAGCACCGGCCAACUACGUG